GGAUGUGAAGGUGACCUGGCUGUAACAUUGAUCGCCAGAGUUGAGUUGGCUGAUCUGGCUGGCUAAGCAGGUAUCCCUUUCCUCCCUCAACUCUCUGUGUACAUCUCUCUCAAACUGCAUGCUUGGUCAGAGGACUACCAACCCUGAUAGAGGAGGACCUUUCCUCUGUCAAGGGUAUAUGACUAGCUGUACUCCCCUGCUAGAACCUUCAAACAAGCUCUAAUGGUCCAAAAACAAAGUUUUGCCACUCUGACUUUAAAAAAAAAAAAGUGAGCUUUUUAAUUU
rnacentral:snRNA from 1 species